UACGGGGGGGGCGAGCGUUGUUCGGAAUUACUGGGCGUAAAGGGUUUGUAGGUGGCCUGCUAAGUCAGACGUGAAAUCCCUCAGCUUAACUGGGGAACUGCGUCUGAUACUGGCGGGCUUGAGGACAGGAGAGGAACGCGGAAUUCCAGGUGUAGCGGUGAAAUGCGUAGAUAUCUGGAGGAACACCGGUGGCGAAGGCGGCAUCCUGGACCAACACUGACGCUGAGGAGCGAAGGCCAGGGGAGCAAACGGG
rnacentral:rRNA from 1 species